rnacentral:rRNA from 1 species
GACGAACGCUGGCGGCGUGCUUAACACAUGCAAGUCGAACGGUGAAGCGCCUUCCUUUUUGGUGGGUGUGGAUGAGUGGCGAACGGGUGAGUAACACGUGAGUAACCUGCCCCCUUCUUCUGGAUAACCGCAUGAAAGUGUGGCUAAUACGGGAUAUUCUGGGUCUGUCGCAUGAUGGGUCUGGGAAAGAUAUUGUUUCGGUGGGGGAUGGGCUCGCGGCCUAUCAGCUUGUUGGUGGGGUGAUGGCCUACCAAGGCGGUGACGGGUAGCCGGCCUGAGAGGGUGGACGGUCACACUGGGACUGAGACACGGCCCAGACUCCUACGGGAGGCAGCAGGGGGGAAUAUUGCACAAUGGGCGCAAGCCUGAUGCAGCGACGCCGCGGGAGGGAUGGAGGCCUUCGGGUUGUGAACCUCUUUCGCCAGUGAAGCAGGCCUGCCUCGUUUGUGGGUGGGUUGACGGUAGCUGGAUAAGAAGCGCCGGCUAACUACGUG